AUACGGAGGAUCCGAGCGUUAUCCGGAUUUAUUGGGUUUAAAGGGUGCGUAGGCGGCCUUUUAAGUCAGCGGUGAAAGUCUGUGGCUCAACCAUAGAAUUGCCGUUGAAACUGGGAGGCUUGAGUAUGUUUGAGGCAGGCGGAAUGCGUGGUGUAGCGGUGAAAUGCUUAGAUAUCAAGCAGAACCCCGAUUGCGAAGGCAGCCUGCCAAGCCAUGACUGACGCUGAUGCACGAAAGCGUGGGGAUCAAACAGGAUUAGAUACCCUGGUAGUCCACGCAGUAAACGAUGAUCACUAGCUGUUUGCGAUACACUGUAAGCGGCACAGCGAAAGCGUUAAGUGAUCCACCUGGGGAGUACGCCGGCAACGGUGAAACUCAAAUGAAUUGGCGGGG
rnacentral:rRNA from 1 species